GGGGAUUUAGCUCAGUGGUAGAGCGCUUGCCUAGUUAGCACAAGGCCCUGGGUUCGGUCCCCAGCUCCG
rnacentral:tRNA from 1 species